rnacentral:lncRNA from 1 species
ACUUCUUUCCCUACGUCAUUGCUUCUUUUUGUUGACACGUGUUAGCAAUCUACCAUGUCUUUAUCUUCCCCCACUGCUUCUCUCAUCUGGUAUCUUCCACUAUCUUCUCGAUUUUGUUUGCCUCCCGUCAACCGCACCCACUGCUGCUACGCCGCUAAGGCAACUGUUGUUGGUAUAGUUAGCAAAGAGGAGGAACAACAACAGUCGUUAGGUCGACGCCCCAUCUUCACCGCCAGUUAUCCAUGUACUAGCAAUUGCGUUUCUCUUUUGAAAUGUCUUCACCGUUAACUAACAACCGAUAACCUCAAAUCUCAACCUCUAAUGUUGGCAAUCGCAUCACUUCAGUUGCAGAACACAGUCCACCGCCUGAAUUUCUUCCUAAACUUCUUUCACCUUAAUCAGAAAUCUCAAAUAUAGGUCGCCAGACUUUGUACAGCUUCUUCAUACCAUCUUCACGAAAUCGAUUCGUAGUUCUUAUGGAAAAAACCCUUGGUAUUGAAGUUAGGAGUAGAAAUGGACGCCUUUGUGCUGGCAAUCAUGUGUUAGAGUACCUGCAACCAUCGUGGGAGAGUUCGGUAUGUGCUAGGGUUCUAUUUAGGGGAUUAUGGUUGUUUCUUUACAACGAACCCAGUAACAACACCACCGAUACUACUAUUGGAAUCGUCGACAGUCGAUUGCAGUUCGUUUCCUCUAUGGUUUCCACAUACACUAAAGCAGCUACCUUCUGGUCACGAUCCUAGCCAGAAUUGAUUGACAGCAGGUUUGGAAUGGCUUCAGCUAAAGAACCUUAUAUAAACAGAAAUAAAGGUCUGGUACUUUACCCAUUUCUUCAUGUUUUUUGGCUGCCAGGUUUUACAAUUUCGUUUGGUUUAUUUUCAGUAUACAUCUAUUAAAGCUUGGAAAUAAGUGAAAACUUACUGGAAAGGAACCAGGACGAUCGGUACCACUGCCACUGUGCCACAAACCCAGUACGCCAGGUUUUACCUUCUCUGUUACCGUUAUUUUGCAUUUUUAUAUUACAUUUCAAAUAUAUGUCAUUCAUUUAGGUUGGAGAUAGGUUUUAAAAAGGAUACAAUCCUUUUAGUGGGUUUCCUUCUCCAAUUAGGAGUUAUCAUUAACAACCAAAUGGAUUUUACAGGGGGAAAUAUGGUAUGUUGAUUUCCUCAUCGUUAUUUUUAUUUAUUUUUAUCUUUUUUUUUUAAAUGAGAUGGUUUUCUGAUUUCUUUUAAAGAUUCUAGAUGAGCCUUCAGUUAAUUACCCAC